rnacentral:lncRNA from 1 species
UCGUUCUAGUCUCUGCAUCUUUAUCUCCAGAACAUGUUUUAUAGCUAUGAGCUUCUGCAUAUAUAGUUCUAGUGCCUAGUCUUAUUUUGUUAUCUGUGACUUUGGUGUGCUAACUCCAGCUGGCCAUGAUAAUGAACUUCAUAGCUAAUAAACCAAUAUCAGGCUUCACUGUGCGGUUUUGCAUAAAAUUCACAAUGCUGUUACCUAAAAUGUUAUUCAGAAAAUCGCUUUAAUCGUUCCCAUCUAUGAGGAUCUUGUAGUGUCAAAUGUAGCAGCAAGUUGCUUUGCUUGUCAAGCACUUCCAUUUUCAACUAGUAGAUCGCAUUUCCAUGAUGGUGCAAAAGAAUGAAUAUUUGACAUCUUUUAAUGUCAAGGAAAUAACGUACUGCCUAUCAUAUAUUUUAUGUUAAGGGAGUCGUGUACAUUUCACGCUAGAAGAAUAACCCUAGUAUGGGCAAAGCAGGAGGUUUUGGCUGUGUUUUUGGCAAUCGGCAGUCAAAUUUACAAGUGGUUAGCCAAUGCACUAUCACUUUGUCGAUUAUCAAAGAGGCCGCAAGCUCAUACAGGUUGCUUUCUCUUUAUGUUUGGAUCUUCACCUGAAAGUUGCAAAACAUCAACGUGGGAAAUCCGGUACAAGGUCCUUUCGAUGUGGUUUCAAAGAAAUUCACGUGGAAUAUUGAAAACUUUAAAGAUCCUAGACGAAGAGAAUGGGACUGAUCCGAAGCUCUCAUGACCUUAUAGUUUUCAAGAAGAAAUGCCAUACGAUUAUUCCCACGCGUACCACGCCAUUAAAGACACCAUCUACCAGGCGUUAGAUUUGUACAAGCGGGAUUAGCCAAACCAAUGUAUUUUUCCCAAAACCCAUGGGCUUUGGGAGAAUCUUAUCUUGAAGUCACGUGACAACCAGAUGUUAGCUCUAACGAAGAUCCUGAUAUUGGCCAUAUCAAUCAGUAAAAGGAUAAAAAAAAAUGUGUUGGGAUGGCAUGCAUGUCUCAAAUCUCCAUUAAAUUUGUAAAAAUUGUUCCAAGACAAUUGUAAAGCAAUGAAAUUAGGGAAUAUUUUAAAUUUACAUGCAAUAACAAUGUUCAUAGUGUAUGUAUGAUUAAUACUUUGAUAUAUACUCAUUAUUCAUGUCCCAUCGAAUAUAAUUGUGGCAUCCCAGAAAUCCAAGACAACCUCUAGAUGUAUUAAAGCCUAUGAUUAGGUAAUGAAAUUACCUUUGGUUUAUGCUUUAGCCAUUGGUUUUCUUUUAAGACCAAGUGUUAUGUAUCUUGUGUUCAUGAGUUAUUAAAAUUAGUAUUAUAGGAUGAGUUGAUAAGAAAGAUUGUUCUUGACUAUGCACCUCAUAGAUUUGAUCCCUAUAGUUUAAAUGUUACAAGAUUUAUGGCCAUAUGAAAUUGAGAAUUUGAAAUCUAUAAAAGAGAGAAUUAAAAAUGGAUUAUUAAAAGUGAAAUUGGGAUUUAUUAGGAUUUAACUUUAGGCCCAAGGGUAUUGGACCUAAAGUGGGCCAAAUUGGAUUGGCCCAUGAAGCCCAUGAAGAAGGCUGCCGUCGACCACAAGGGGGAGAGGCUGGCCCAAUCUCCAAGCCCAUCAUGCAUGGGAUUUGCCAAGUGGCAAAAAGGGGGCUUCACCUAUUGGCCAUUUUGGGUGGCUCCUAAUGAUGGCUAACGAUUGUAUUGAGGGGGGAAUAAAAGGAAGGAGUGACCGGUUUAGGGGGGGCUUUCGACCAUAAGGGAGAGAGAGAGAGAGGGCUGCCGAGAGAGUGAGGAACUGAGAGAGAGGAGGAAGAAGCCGUGUGUCCGUCUGUUUGCUCGUCCGUCGCUUGCCGCCCGUGCGUCCACCGUUUGCCGCCGUCGUGCUCGUUGUAGCUCGGUACAAAGGCAAGUUGGGAUCCAUAUUCUGCUCUUGCAUGUUGUAUCUUGCAUAUGUGUUUGAAUGGUGAUGAAUCUCGGACGUUUAGGGUGUGAGAAACUGAAGCUUUGAGUGUGUUGUUUUUGAAAUAGCAUUCUGUUUUCAAGUAUACCGCCUGACCCAGAAUGUUGUAGAGGCUUGCAUGCGGGGUUUGAGUCGGAUUUUGGUUUGGACUUCUUCACGAAAGUUGUAGGAAACAUCCUGAAGACUAGCAUACUCAAAUUUGAGGUAAAACGAACAAGUGUAGCCUAGUGAAACGAUUUUUGCUUUGAAGAUGAUAGAUCUGGAAGUAUUGUACUGGACACUAGCGACUUCGUGAACUAUAAAGUGACUAUCCUUUGAGAAUCUCACCUAGAUCCCUUAAUGAAAGUUGUAUUGGACCCCUUGAGGCAAAACAUAUAAAAAAAUUCAGAGGAAAUGAAGGAAGAUAAGUAGGUGAAACCUUGAUUUUUCGGAGACAGCUAAAUUGGACUGUUCGGUACUAGGAACAGGGGCUUCGACCGUCCAUAGUUAAUUAUCUAGGACGAAUCUGGCCUUGAUUUCUUCAUAAAAAAUCUACCUUAGGGUUUCUACUAUAACCUGGUAAAAUCUCAUAAUUUUUUAAGGUCAUUCGGGUAUUUAAAUUGAAAUAUUUCAAGAACCGCGCAAUCUGAUGUGUUCGAAUUUUGCAAGCUGUAAUGUGUGAGCUAUAUCUUUUUGUGUGAAGUUCUUUUGGGCAUGUGUUCUUCAUGGAGUUCCUACCUUUGUGUCUUGACUAUGGCCCCGUUUGGUUCAACUUUGGAGAAAUGGCUUUGCAUUUCCCCAAGUACCUUUGAGAGAAUGAGCAUUUUGGGAAUGGAGUUGUGUUUGGAAACCAAAUUUUUGUGCAUGUUUUGCAAAGCUAUUUCAAAGUAAAAUGAAAAAUGAAAAAAUGAAAAGAAAAGGGAGGAGGAGAUCGCGUGGUGAGGGGAAAAUUGUGGGGGAGCAGCUGGUGGUGGUGAGGAGGUGGCUGGCGGCGGCAGCGGCAAUGGCGGGGGGGAGGGAGGCGUCGACCUCAGGUGUUGCGCAACCCAGCCGCUUGAGGCCACGCAACCUCAGGCGGCGACCCUGGCCUCAGGCGACAACCCAGGCGACACCGCCUGAGGUCGCGCGGCCUCAGGCAACGCCGCCUGGGUCGCGCCUGAGGUCGAGCGACCCAGGGUGUUGCUUGAGAUCGCGAGGCCUCAAGCGCGCGGCCAGGCGGUGUCACCUGGGUCGCUUGACUCAAGCGACGCUUGAGGCCACCUCGCCUAAGGUCACGCGGCCUUAGGCGAGGCUUUUCGGCGGCCAGAUCUGACUGCUCGCGACUGAGCGCCACCCACCGCGAAGCUUGGCCGAGCAGCAAGUCCACGGAAGUCCAUGGAAGUCCAAGGAAGAAGAUGAACAGUGUUUUGGAGGGUAGAAUGGAAAAAAAAAAAAAACAAUUAUCGGUAAGGGCAAUAUUGGAAAGAAAAAAAUUCAUUAAACCCUAAACUAGCAUUCCGAAUGCUGGCAUUUAGGAAAUGUAAGCUCAAAAGUGUAAACCAAACACCAAAUUGAAAGCCCCUUGGGAAAGCUGAACCAAACACCCCCUACCACAUGUUCAGAUUUUAUAAUUUUUGAAGGUCAUAAAGAUAUUUAAUUUAUAUGUUUUCUGAAAUUGUGCAAGUUGGAAUUUGGUAAAUUUCAAAAAGUCAUGAUGUAUGGAUUAUUCUAAGUUGUAUGGACCCCAUGGAUUGUGUUGUCAUAAGUGAUUGGAUCUUACUGCAUAUAUGAUGAUGAUUGGAAAUACAUAUAAGAAUCAAAUGUUGAAAAUGAUCUUGUUGCCAUCAUAUUAUAUGCCAUGUUGAAAGUGAGCUAUAAUUGUGAAUGUGAACUAUGAUAAAUGAGAAGGCCGUCAGAGGUGUGAGCCAACGAUGUCCCGGGAGUGUCGGGAUGCCCGGCCAGGGAGUGUAAAUGCCGGAUGCCCAGUGGCCUAGUGGCGUAAUUCUGGAGGGUCCUCGGGAGUUUUGAGAUGCCCGAGAUGUGGGGGUGCUGGAAGCCCGGAGGUGUGAGCCGAGGGAUACCUCAUGAUGCUAGUUGGGGUACGAGAUGCCCGGAGUGUGUGUGCCGGAUGCCCGGAGGUGUGUGCCGGAGGUUCCUGGCGAUGUCAGGAUUGGGUGCGAGCGAUAAAUGUGGGAUGCAAAUACUGGUCUUGGGAAAGAGAAAUGUGGCGGCCCAAAAUGAAAGAAUAAAAUUGGGAAAUUGAAAUUGAAUUAUGCAUGGUAUGGUAACAUGUAUGCAUGAAUGCAUGAAUGUAUGUGAUGGUACAUGUGUGACAUGAUGAUGGUGAGUGCAUGGAUGUAUGUGCACCUAUGGCAUGAUGGUAUAUGUGACAUGAUGAUGGUGAGUGCAUGGAUGUAUGUACACCUAUGGCAUGAUGGUAUAUGUAUGACAUGAUGAUGGUGAGUGCAUGGAUGUAUGUGCAUCUAUGGCAUGAUGGUAAAUGUAUGACAUGAGGGUGAAAGUUAUAUGAGGAUGUAUGUACAUGUGGUAUGAUGACAUAUGCAUGGCUUCAAGGUAAAUUAUGCAUGGAUGCAUGAAUGACAUGUGUUAUGCUAUGAUUGUUAUGAUUGUAUUGUGUGAUGCAUUGAGUAGUUUAUUGGGUCUUUUACCUGCUGAGUGGCUGUACUCACCCCUUCGGGGACCAACAUUUCAAAUUAGAAAUAUACCGCUCCCUACUGUCACGCGGGGCGUCUUUUAUGGCCUUCCUUCGGACGUGGAGGUCGAGUGUGUGGAGAUCGACUGUCUCACCAUCCCUGGUCUGACGUUCAUUCGGGUUCGUGCAUUAGUGAUGUAUGACGUGGGCCUGGCUGAUGGCCAGAUCAUUCAGGAGUUCAUAUAUGUUCACGUUCGUCGAGACGGAGUGAUGCGGGGGAUGUUGCUGCCGCCACCGCCUGACGCACCGGGAUGGGUGUGACGGCCCAUGAUUGAGGAGUAGGAGCUACUACUUUUUCGACAAUAGCCGACACUAGUAGAUGGAGGAUUUUGCAUGAUCGACAUAGAGGGUCGAGUUGUCUCUUUUUGGGGUUAUGGCCGAGUGUAGUUAAAAGUCUUGGCCUUUCUUUUGUUGUACCGACCUGAUAAAAAUCCAUCAUGAAAAUAUGUAAAUAAAAGUGUCUUGACUUUAUCUUUUUAUAGUGUUUAGUGGUGUGCAUUGUAUCAUGAUUGUUGGGGGGGAGAAUUGGUAGGACUUGAUUAUGCUUCCGCAAAUAAGAUGCGUUGGGACCGUUGUAAAAAAAAAAAUGCCUAGGAACUAAAGUUCUUCUUUGGUAUCUGUGGUGACCUUAGGCGCUUCGGGGUGCCACAAUAAUUAACGUCACAUGUGCUAAAGAUUUUUUAUCCCAAUUUCGUUGAAAAAUAUCUCUAGGGUGCUUUCUCUUUUGUUGAAAUUUGGGGCACAUGUUAAACAAUAAAAAGUUAGCCAUCAAUGCACAACUUCUCUUAAGUAACGAAUCGUGAAUGCUUUGAAAAUCGAAACAUUCACUAUAAAAUAUAAUUGACACUAAUAAGAUAGGUCAUCUAUGAUAUACCUGUAUCUCCAUGCAUGUAUGCAUAUGCAAUGAAUACUCCGGAGAAUAUCAUAUGCUUCAUUAAGUGCACUUAAUAAAUGCUCCAAAGGUACUUGCUAAGGAAAUCCUUUACAAAAGCAUUCAUGCAUUCCCCAUGAAUUUACAAACAAAAUAAACACACUUUUCGAUGUGUGAUCGUGUGAAUGUUAAUCCCUAUAUAUUAGUCAUGUAUAUUCAACAAAAUAAAAUAAAAUAAAAUUACAAAUAUGAUUACUGAGAUCAAAGCAGAAAAUUAUGUAAAUUUUCUUAAUUAAUUAUGUCGAGACACUUCUUAAUAAAAGCUGAUCACAUCGUCCUCGUGCUUUUCUUCUCUCUCUCUCUUUUGUUCUUUUCAAUUAAUGUGUUCAUCACAUUGAGAAAGGGGAUUAUGCAUGCCGCUCUGCCCGAUGAUAAUUGCACGAGUGUGGAUUUACAGAGAGGGGGGGACCAAACUCUUUAAUUAUUAUUGCACAACAAUUAUUAAUUAUUACUGCUGCAAUUAUUUGUGGGGGAGUUAAGAAACAAUAAAAAAAUAAAAAUUACGCAACAUGUCUUGGUGGACACGGGCAUUUGCGCGCGUGUCUCGCCGUAUCUGUCAGACAGAGCCGGUUGCUUCGACCAACUACCUCCCGUUGACUUUGACUUGAGCAGCUGCUGGCCAGUGAGAUUUCGCCACGGCAGCCGUCUGUUGACCUGCGGUGGCAGGAGAUCCGGCCCGCGCGUGCUAGGUCGCAGCCUCGCCACAGACAACAGCUUUUACCUGCAAACAUACGCUGCAAAUAUAAACUGUGAAUUAAAAAGCUUUGCGUAUGACAGACGUCCGAGGACCACAAAGAUGGUUUUUAAAUGGGACCAUACGGUAUGAUCGGAGGCGGAGGAACCGUGCGCCGGACGAAGAAAGCUCGGCUGAUUUACAGAGCCGGGCACGGGGAGCCUGGCUGCGAACCCACCCCCGUCGCAACCCAGAGGCACGAGCAGUUGAGGUAUGGAGAACUCAGGCAAAAAGUAGAUCUGCAAACCCAGAGAUUGAUUUGCCCCAGACAUGGAUUCCACCGAAAGCAGGAGUGUUGAAGAUAAAUAUAGAUGGAACAUAUGUGCAUGGUUCGUUGAAGAACUCCAUUGCUUGCAUUAGCCGUGAUUCGGAAGGGAGGUUGUUGGGAGGAGUUGCAAAGGAAAUAAGGGCCUCUUCCCCCUUAAUGGCAGAAACCUUAGCUCUCUGGGAAGCCCUCCAGUUUCUCUUCCCUAUACGACACGAAGUAAUACUUUUGGAGUCAGAUAGUUUGCAACCGGUCAAAGCCAUGAACAGUUCACAACAGUUAAGUUGGGAAGUACAGCCUAUCAUCAGCAAGUGCAAGGAAAUAUUGAAGGCCUUUUCAAAAGUCCAAAUAGCCCAUUGUUCAAGACAGGCCAAUUUUGUUGCAGAUUGGGUAGCUAAAGCCCACUGGAACAAUUACUUACCUAUGAAUUGGGUCUCAUCCCCUCUACAAACUUUGUUGGACCUCUUAUGUAAUGAAGCCCAUUUAUCGGGCCUCUUAUCCUUGCGUACUUAAUGAAAUAUUUCCGUUUUCGACCAAAAAUAAAAAAUAAAAAUGGGACCAUACGGUAGUAACUUUUUCUUUUUCUUUUUCUUUUUCUUUUAUUUUUCUAUUUUUUUUAUUAAAGAGAAAAGUCAUAUGAAAGUCCAAAAUAUGUGUCCUCUCACGUAUUCAUUUCAAUAUUUUUUUUUGUGACAUAAAAAUUCCAAAUUUGUAUUUAUGUCACACAAAUACUCUGUUAAGAUACCGUUAAAUGAUUUUUCAACUAAAAUAACGUCUUUUUAUUUAUUUAAAUUACGUGGGCGCCAUGUCAGUGUUUUGGUGUCAUAGAAAAAUGUUUAUAAUAAAUAUAUUACAAUGGACAAAAUUUAAGAUUUUUUUUUUGUGACUUUUGCCCUUAUUAUUAUGAUGUAGAGGAAAUGUUGCAAUUUCUAAUAUAUUGCCUACUUUUGUGAUAUGUAUACUUAAUAUUUUGAAAAUAGAAUAUUUUCUCGUUAAAUGUAAUUAGAAAUGCACCAAAAGCACGUGUGCCUUGUAAUACUCGUUAGACAUAUUGAUUUUGGAAUGAAUUAGUUUCGACACAUUAUUUUAUAUAUCACUACAACGAUUAAUGCAUUGGAAACUACAUGAUUUGGAAAAUCAAUUAUUUAACAAGUGCUCCAUAAACCCUAAUAAACCAAAAUCCUUAUCAUUAUAUUGAUAGUGUGUAAAAUUAAGCUAGUUAGGUAGAUUAUUUCGAGAGAAAUGAAUGUUGAUUUGAGCUCCAACAAGCGCAUUUUCUUGCAAGCCACGCUUUAGGGUCUAUUUGGUACAUUUCUAUGUCAAGAAUCAAUUUUUUUUUUCAAAAAUAGUCUGUCUAUUUCUAUUCCCCAAAACAAUUUAUGAAUAAAAAAAUGCAUUUGGUAACUAUACAAAAUUAAUUUUCUUAAAAUAGAAAAGUAAUAAAAAUGCAUUUAAUGUGAUCAACAAUUUUUUUUAUUACAUAAAAUUUCUUUUAAUUUUUUAAUAAUUUUUUUUCUUUUUUUUUUCUUUUGUUAUUCUUCCUUGCUGCUGCCAAUCGUUGGCCACAAGCCACCGCGGCCGAGCCAAAGGUCAAUGGCAACCGACAGUGGCUGAACAACAGCAGAUAGUGGUGGGGUUCAAGGAGAAAGAAAAGAAAAAGUAACUUAUUUAUAAAAAUUGUUCAUGAGAGCAAUAAGUUACUUUUUUUUUUCUUUUUAUUUCUAUUCCAAAUCUAUUUUUCCGUCAAUUUUCUAUUCCGGAGAAUAAAAAAAUUAGUUGAUAUUAUCAUAUGGAUUUAUGUUCUUUUUUUUUGUUCCGAGGAACGAAAGAACAGAAAUUGGAAUAAAUAGAAAUGUUAUCAAACGAAGUCUACUCAGUCGGUAAUUUCAGAAAUCAGAUUACCUCAAAUGAUUCAUUCAGUUGAAUCACGUCCCUAUGGUAAUGUUUGGAUGACCUUUACCUUGUUUUAUUCGAUUUAACUCGAUCCGAUUGAGCACCACUUAGGAAGUCGGUUCGACGUCCGGCCGUAUUUUGGAGACAUUGGUUUCAAGGGUCUCUUGUCCUGAUAUUUGUCUAGUAGAUGAAUGAGGUGUGUGAUGAUAUUUUUACAGGCCGGAGCAAGUGCCGAUUUUCAGGUAUGAUCUCGGCCCAAGAGGCAUACAAGAUGAGCCGAACGUGUUGGAGUGGGUGAUAAAAUACCUUUGCGGAGAGUAUAGUUAUUUUGGUUGGACAAAUCAAGUCAUCAGUCAUCAAGUUGUCUAAUAUUUGACUAUAAAUGGAACUUAACCCUAAGGAUUAGUUUAGUCGGUUGAGAGUUUUGGAAGUUACGAUUCAAAAAUUAGAAAAUAUUUUCUUUAAAAUGAUCAAUUAUAUUAUUUUCACAAAUGAGUCAACAAAAUAUAUUUUCAUUAACAAUAAUGAUUUAUGUUCAAACAUUUUCGUGAAUGACGAAACCAAUACAGGAUGAUUCUAAAUUAUUGAGUUUUUGUAAGACAAACGCACCAGCAAUCCAACUUAGAAUCACUCUUCUUUUUUUUGUGCGUGUGUUUUUGGGGCUCGGAAUAUGGGAGUUGAUAUGUCAGGAAGCUAUCUCACUAGCUAUCCUUCCCAUCAGAUUCUUUAACGUACGAACACCAUGUUAAAUCUUUUUCUUCUUUUUUUCAAGACUUACAUUAAAUCACUUUCCAUGGAAUUAAAUCGUAAAAAUUAGAGCCCCUUUAAAAUAUCAUCACAUUACAUUUUAAUGUUGGGUUCACACGUUAAAAACCCAAUACACUUAUCAUGAAAGAUUGCUAAGAGAAAACUCAAAUCUAAACUCGUUAACUUAUUCAAUUUGAUCCAUUUACGCUCAAAACCUUUGGUCAAUGAAUUAUAACUGAGUUAGAUAUAUUAAAUACUCCAUAUUACAGCACAUCCUUGUAUGAGAUUUCAAUAGCUUAACAUUCUCGUGCAUGCAUGUAGACAAUUUCCCCCUUCACACAUGCGAGCCACCAAUGUUAGGCUCACUCCCUCUCAAUCCUAAUAUCCUUCUACACCAACAUUAUCUCAACUCGAGAAUAUUUAAUCUUUACCUUGGCUUGGUCAAAUUGCAUAUACUGGUGAGGACCAAUAGGUAUCUUUCAGAUUCCACCUUAAUUGUCUUCGCUCAACCAAGCUUGUCGAGAGUAGAGCGACACCAUUCAUCACCUCAAUUAAGGGGCCACAUUUGAGAUUUUCCUUCCUUGAGAUAUUCAUCGGGCACUCAUACAUAUUGGGAUCCGGCCACGAAUCAACAUUGACUCUAAUACCAUUUUCAGAUUGACACAACAGAAGCUGAGUACCUUCAUUUGAUGAGAUCACCAAGAGGAAGCACUAGUCAAAGCCCAUUAAAUUACCUAGUUGGACCCAAGUUUACUCAAAAACUUGAGUUAAUCAAUUAUGAAUCAGCUAAAAUGUAUCACUUGCACCACAUUUACUUUGUGGGAUUUCUCUCAGCUAACAUCCAUGCACAUGCACCUUAACAAAUACUAAAUGCAAUCCGAUUCCUCAUGUGUCGAAGGUACCCCUUGAAGCAUCAAAUACAACGAUAGGGUUUGCGUAGCUUGCUUGUUGUAGUAGAUUUUCUCUUGAUUACUACCUUACCGGCCCUUAGCAUUGAGGUGACAAGCUACCAAUGCCGUAAUUAUUUGUAAUGUUGAUUCAUUGGAAGGUAAAUAUUAAUGAGUCACGUUUUACUUAUUAUGUCUUUAAAAUGUACAAUUUUUCAAUGAAGUAACUGAAUAUAUUAAACUUCUCUUCUUUUACUGUAUUUAAAUAUGUACUUCUUUAAUUCUCAAAAUCUCUUAAAAAGCAUUCUUUCUAUUUUUAGUUAAUUUAAUGUAGGAAUUAGUUUUGACAGGAAAUGAAAAAGAAGAGAAUUGGAGGAAUUUCUUGUGCUCAUUUUGUAUUUUUUUUUUCAUUCUUUAUAUGUAUUAAUAAUAUAAAGUGUGGAUAGCAAAAGGAAACAAUGUAAAUAUACAUAAUUAAUAUGGAUCACUUAUUGAUUCAGUCAAUCAAUCUAAAUCUUAGAUUAAUUCAAUUAUCUCUUCACCACAUAAAUCAUAUCUCCAACACUCCCUCUCAAGUUGGUGGGUUGUAUAUGUCCAAAACACCUAGCUUGUUUAACAAAUGUGUGUUGUCUUUGACACAAGGGUUUAAGUAAAGAUAUCCGCGGGCUGUUUUGAGGUUCCAAUACCCUUUAUCCUAUUAUUCCUUCUUGGAUCUUAUCUCGAGAGAAAUGAUAGUCGACCUCUAUAUGUUUUGUUAUCUCAUGGACUAUAAGAUUAGCUGCAAGCUUUAGUGUUGCAUCAUUAUCACAAAAACAACAUAGUUGGCCUUUUAACUCGCACACCAAGGUCAAGAGGUAGACCUCGCAUCUAUACUAUCUCAUAAAUAGUCUUGGUCAUGGCUAGAUACUCAACUUUAGCCAAUGAUAAUGAUACGGUUGUUUGCUUCCUCCUCUUUUAUUUAUUUAUUUAUUUAUUUAUCAUAACAAAAGUAAGGAUGUUCUAAGCUUAAUGCAAAAAAUCUAGUAAUGGAGCUCCAGGUCAUAAGACAGGUGGCAUGGUCUAUGUCACAAUAAUCCGUCAUCUCCAUGUUACACGCUUGAGAAAGAAGUAUUCCAAAUCCUAGACAUUUCUUCAAAUCACAACUUUUAGAGCUACAUUCAUAUGUGAUUGUUUUUGGUUAUGCGUAAACCAACUCAGCAUUAGCACUCCUUAGCAUAUGUUUGGUAUUGUCAUGGUGAGAUAAUCUUUUCUACGAGCCUCUAAUAGCUUGAUGGAUCCUUGAGCAGUGGAUUAUCAGCAUUUGAUAGUGUUCCACAUAAAAAAAAAAUUGUGAUUAACUUGAUAUCUUGCUCGAUAGGAAUAGUAGGUAGCUUACAUUCUAACAAACUUGCUUUUGAUAUAAUUUCAAGGACAAAUUUCCCAUUAGCUAAGAGGAGAUUCCCAUGUUCAAUUGGGCAAUUUUAAUUCCAAGGAAAUAUAUGGGAGGUCCUAGAUCUUUAAUGUGAAAGGUAUAGUAGUGCAAAUAUUUCUUGAGAUUUUCAGCAACAGCUUCAUUAGAUCCCAUAAUAAGUAUGUCAUCAAUAUAUAUCAUUAGAUAGAUAGAUGACGAACCUUUUCUCCUUAUAAAUUGUGCAUAAUCAUGUCUCAACUGUCUAAAGCCAGUAACUAUAAGUGCAUUUGUAAAUUUUGUGUACCACUAAUGAGAAGCUUUCUUAAGGCCAUAAAGUGAUAUGCAGAGACAUCAUACCUUAGACUCCUCUUGUUUUCGUAAACCCGGUGGAAGAUCCAUGUAAAUUUCUUCGUCUAGAUCACCAUGGAGAAAGGCAUUGUAAAUAUCCAUUUGAUGUAGUGGCCAAUCCUGCAAGCAACAAUGCAUAGAAAGGAGCGAACUGUGACUUUUUUUGCUAUUGGAAAGAAUGUUUUAUGAUAAUCGAAACAUUCUUUUUAUGUGAAACCUUUGGGCACUAAACGCACCUUGUAUCGUUGGACUGAUCCAUUUGCCUUGUGUUUAAUUUUAGGGAUAAGUGCACUAGGAGUCCUAAAACUUAUUACAAAAGUGCAUUUGAGUUCUAAAACUUGCAAAAAGUGCAUUUACGUCCUAAAACUUGUCAAAAUGUUUCAAACGAAUCCUAAAAUCGAUGCCGUCUAAUUUCUUAAUGGAAAAAGCUAACGUGGCCCCCGCAUGGCUUUUUUUAAUCGUUUCUCUCUCCUUCGUUGCGAAUAGAUUAAAAAAAAAUGCCAUGCAUCCAAAACGACGUCUUGUUCUCCUUUCUUUUUCACCAUUGUGUUACCUUCCCUCCAUCUGUACGUCUUCUUCACCGUCGUCUUCCCUCUCCCCCCUCCGUCUCUACGAUUGCUUUCACUAUUCCGAGCGAACCCUAAGCCCCAAAUCGAAUUCGUCCAAAUUGCAAUUCUCUUGCAAUUUGGGUCCUCAUCGACCUCAAGUUCGACGCUCGUCGUGAGUUCGUGUUCUUUCCUUUGAUGAUCGCGAGUUCGUGCGAAGUCCUCUCCUGUGGGAGUCUCGACAUCUCAGCAGAGAAGCGAUUGGCAUCGGGGACGACGACAAGGUCCGCGACGGCGAUGGCAACUCCUCCUCACACAGGUAUCGUUCUUUGCAUUAUAGCAUUUUGGGUAUCUCGUGGUAAUGCUACGAUAUCUUUUGUUUUGCUACGAUUUCUUUUAUUUUGCAAAGGUGCUUUAAUCUCUGCAUUAUGCAAAACGAUGUCAGUUGGCGUCCUCAUUUCUUCAUUAUUUGGAGUUCAGAGAGCUCGAGUUUGACACACAUCGACUUUAUGUUAUCUUCUUUGACGAUUGCAAGUUUGUGCAAAGACGUGUCUUGCGGGCAUCUCGGCGUCUCAACAGCAGAGCAAGCGGCAUCAGGGAUGACAAUGGCCAUCUCAGCGACGGAGCAAGCAACAUCAGGGACGGCGAUGGUGACUCCUCACGCAGGUAUCACUCUUUACAUUACAGCAUUUGGGUAUGUCAUGGUAAUAUUACGAUUUUUGUUUUUGUUUUACGAGGGCGUUUUACUCUCUGCAUUAUGGUUUUUUUGCAUUUUCCAAUUGUUGCGAUAAAUUAGAACAUUGUUGCAAAUUAGAACAUCGCCUACCGAAAGGCUGACAAUAGGUCCCUCGCUCUCACUAUUGAUCAUGUAGUUGCAUUGUGAUUGUAAAGCACAUUAUGCUAAUUUGCUGUUUCUGUAUUGAUUAUUAGUCUUUUAACUUGAACAUUGCUUCAAUAAUUUGAUGAUGGAAAGUACUCUGCUCUUUUUUUUGUUCUCUUGUAUGUUUCUAUUCCAUUGUAGGUUCAAUUGCCGAGAAUAAAGUUUAUUUCACUGUUCGCUAUGGAGGUAAAUUUAAAGUCGGCCCACCAUUGGAAUACAUAGGUGGAAGAGCUAAUCUUGUUGAAAUAAGUUUAAGUAAGAGUUCACUGUCUAGUAUAAUUGAAGCUAUUGAGGCUUUGGGUGUGUGUAAAAUAGAGAAACUCUUUUAUAGAGUUUCUGGAAGUACGACUCUUGUAGACGGCAUAACACUUAGGUAUUUGUGGGAUAGCUCUGAUGUGAUGGAUCUAUUUUAUCAUCAUUUGUGCUCUGAAAAUAUUAUGCUAUAUGUUGAGCAUGUUGAUGAGAAAAAGAAAGGAGCUGAGAUGAGGGGUGUUGAGAUGGAAACUGGAGGUAUGUCUAAUGUGAUUAGGAAUAUUGAUGAUGACGAUGCCAAUAGGGAUCUAGAUGAGGAAGAGGAUGAUGAUGCACAUAAUUUGGUGGAUGUGGAACAGUCGAGUGACGAUGAUAAUUUUGAACUGGUUGAUGCAAGGAAAAAAUUAAAGGAAUUUUCAGCAAGACACAAGCUCAAAAUUGGCGAUUAUAGUGAGGCAACUGGUACUUCCCAACCAUUGAUUGUGGAUGAGGCUCAAUCAUUACAUGAUUCUGGGUACGAAACAGAGUAUGAUGAUUCAGAUGAGGAAGAUAGUCUUCAAUCAAUUUUAAAUGAUGAGGGUGACAAAGAGGUUGAUGUUAUCUCAAAGAGGAGAAGUAGAUUCCCAUCAUAUGAUCAAAGUGGUACAAAUCCAGUAAUUAUUGUUAGCAUGACAUUUGAGGAUGCAACUGAGUUCAAAAAUGCAAUUUUGAAGUAUUCUGUGGCUAAGCAAAGAGCAAUCAAAUACACUAAGAACACAAAAAGCUUUGUAAGAGCCAGGUGUGUCCAGGAAAAUUGUAAGAGGAUGAUCUAUGGUGCUAUUGAUAGCAAAACUAGAUCAUUUCAUUUGAGAAAUUAUAUAAAUCAGCAUAUAUGCAGUAUCACUUUCGAGAAUAAGAGAGUGUCUAGUAAUUAUUUAACUAAGCACUUCAUGAUUCUCAUUUUUGCAAUGCCUAAAAUCAAAGCACUAGAGUUAAAGAAAUUAGUCAAAGAACAACUGGGAGUAAAUGUCACUUUCAGUCAGUGUAGGAGAACAAAGUUGAAAGUAUUGAAGGAACUACAAGGUAAUUACAAGAAGGAAUAUGCACAGAUGUACGACUACUUGGGAAAGCUUUACACUGCAAGCCCUUCAAGCAAUUUUAAAUUGAAAGUUGAAAGGCCAUUGCUAAAUUCUCUACCAUUAUUUGAUAGGGUUUACAUUUGCUUUGAUGCUUGCAAGAAAGGUUUUUUGGCUAGAUGUAGGAAGAUCAUUGGAUUAGAUGGAUGUUUUUUGAAGGGUUUGAUCAAGGGCGAGUUGUUAUGUGCCGUAGGAAGGGAUGGCAACAAUCAAAUGUAUCCAGUGGCAUGGGCAGUGAUAAGAAUCGAGAAUAAGGACACAUGAACUUGGUUUAUCGAAUUGUUAAAGUCAGACCUCGAUAUGUGUAAUGGUGACGGAUGGGCUUUGAUAAGUGACCAACAAAAUGUAUGUUUUUCUUUUUGUUUUCAUUUGUAAAUUGAUUGUGACAUUACAAUGCUUUUCUUUCUGUUUUCAUAUAUAUUUUCUUUUUUUGGGUAAUUGUCAGGGUCUCGUCUAAUCUGUAGCUGAACUUUUGCUAAAUGCAGAGCAUAAUAUGUGUGCAAGGCACAUAUAUUCCAACUUGGGUAAAAAAUACAAAGGAAAACAGUUGAUGAGACAAUUUUGGAGAUGUGUCAAGAGUAAUAAUAUGUCAGAUUUCGAGGUGCAUAGAUAGAGGUUGAAGGAAAUGACUCAAGAAAGUCAUGAUGAUUUAUUCCGUAUUGAGCCAAAACAUUGGUGCAAAGCCUUAUUUGACACCAACAUUAAAUGUUAUGCCGUUGAUAAUAAUCUCAUUGAAGCUUUUAAUGGCAGGUGUGUGGAAGCUAGGUGCAAGGCCAUUGUGAGUAUGCUGGAGGAUAUUAGAAUCAUGGUUAUGAAUAGAAUGCAUACUCAGAGGGAUGGAUGUGCUAAGUGGACUGGAAAUUAUGGUCCAAGGAUUCUACAUAAGUUACAUGAGAAUACAACUGCUAGUAGGUAUUGUCAUUUGAUAUGGAAUGAAGACGAAGGAUAUGAGAUUACGGAAGAUGGUGACAAAUAUGUUGUUGAUUUGAAUUUAAAAACUUGUAGAGCUUGGGAACUUAGUGGAAUUCCAUGUUGCCAUACCAUUUGUGCAAUACACCAUAAGAGAAAUUACCCGAUUGACUAUCUAGCUGAGUGUUUCAAUAAUGCAAAGUAUCUAAGUGCUUAUCAAUUCAUGAUGUCUACAGUGAGAGGACAGAAAUUUUGGAAUAAAACCAAUAAAGAAGCUCCUCAACCCUCACCAAUGAAGAACAUGCCUGGUAGGCCAAAAAGGAGUAGAAAAAAGCAACCAAUUGAGCUUGUAAAAGGUGAUAGAAUGACUAAAAAUGGUAAGCUAAUGACUUGUUCUACUUGCAAUGUGGUUAGACAUAACUGCAAGGGAUGUCCUUUAAAAAAUGUAUUUUCUCAACUAACUGAUCAUCUAAAUGUUGGGCAUGUCACUUUAACAUGUUGUUAAUCAAUGCUUAAUAUGUGCUUCUCAGGCCAAUACUUGGGCCAAUGUAUGUACAUUCAAUGCUCGGGCCAAUGUAUGUACAUCCAAUGCUCGUGCCAGUGCAAGUACAGCUGAAGUUCAUGCUCAAUCUCAAGCUAAUUCCACUAGAACAAGGCUCGGAAAAAGACAAGUAAGUUGUCAUCUAACAAUUAUUAUAACUUUUAUAUGUCAAGGUUUCAAUUCAGUAAUUAUGAAUAUAUAUUCAGGCUAAAGCUAAAGCAAUGACAAGCAUAACUGGAGGAGGAUUCGAAAGCCAUGCCAAUGCUUCUGCAAAUGCCAAUUCAAUAGGAGACAAUAGUGGGCAUGUUAAUGCUUCUACUCAGGCUAGUGCAGAUGUAAGAGGGUGUAGUGCUCGUGCAAAUGUAAGAGAAUGUACUGCCACUGCUUCUGCUCAGGCUAGUGCUGAUGUUAGAGGAUGUACUGAUGUGGCCAAUACUGUUGGUAAAGUUCGUCCUGAUCAAGGGGAAGGCGUUUAUUGUACACCGGCCAAUAUAAUGGCUAAGCAUAGACCUGAAAAAAAUUUCAGUGAGUAAUAUCUCAAUCCCCAAGCAUACAUGUAUUGUGACUACAUUCUCAUGUUCAAUGAAUUUUUUAUUAUUUUAGAUUAAAAGACUUGCCAUUGAAAAUAACAUGAUACAAAGAGAAUCACAGGCCAAGAGGAUGAAAAUGGUAGGGUUGGGUGUUGACGCAAAUCCUAUGACAAACCUUCAUAUUCUUAAGGUGAGUAAUAUUUCUAAAAUUUUCUAAUAGCAAUUACUUAUCUCCUUAAGCUAAAAACAUGCUCAUUCUUAUGUAGCCUAAUACAACUGGUGCAAGAAUCUUUAACCUACCAGACAAAGGGGUAGUUUCAAGAGCUACAUCAACAAUAAAGGUGCAUUCCCAGGUCAGUGCACAACCUCAGUCAUAUCAUGUAUCAGCAACUUCUUGAAAACAAAUUGCGGUGACGCCGAAGCCACCAUUACAACCCAAGGCCAGUUCCCAACCUCAAUCAUCUCAUGCAACAGUAGCUCCUUCAAAGCAUGUUGCAAUGAAGCCAAAGACACUAUCGCAACCUGAGGCUAGUUCCCAAGCUCAGUCAUCUCAAGCUACAAGAGCUCAGAAGCAUCUUAAUUUAAAAUGAAAGGCACCAUCACAACCAAAGGCAAGUUCCCAACCUCAAUAAUCUCAUGCAACAUUAGCUCCUCGAAAGCAUGUUGCGAUAAAGCCAAAGCCACUAUUGCAACUUGAGGCCAGUUCCCAAGCUAAGUCAUCUUAGGCUACAAUAGCUCAGAGGCAUCUUGGUUUAAAGUGAAAGACACCAUCACAACCCCAGGCAGCUCCUCAAAGACACAUUGCGGUGAAGCUGAAGCCACUAUUGCAAGCUCAAUCAUCCCGGGCUCAGUCAUCUCAAGCUACGACAACUCCUCCAAAGCCUAUCGCUUUAAGACCAUAUAUAAGGAAAAGUGCUAGAAUUAUGAAUCAAGUGAAGGCUGGACCUACUGGAUCACUGGAGACCAUCAUAUUGGAUUGAUAUGUUUGCUGAAAUUGGUGUUGUUAGGUGAAUUUAUGCCAAUCAUUAGCUGGUUUUCUAUAUGAGACAUGUAGCAUUUGUGCAUAAGACCUUUUGUGUACUGAAAGUGCAUAUUUUGUUGAAAAGAACCUUUUGUGCAUUGAAAGUGCAAGCAUUUUGUUGAACAAAGCCUUUUGUGCAUUGGAAAUGUAAGUAGCAUGUUGCUUUGUCAAUGAAUCGUGUUUCAACAAGUUAUGUGGGAUGCUUGGUUUUGGUUUGGAUAAUGCACGAAAGUGGUUGCUCUUCAGGAUUGUUAAUAGAUGAUUACUGAAAUUGUCCAUGAAGAAUUUUCAUUCUUCCAAUACUUUUGUCAUCUUCUUUCCCAUUUAUUGUUAAUAGGAUUGUUAAUAGGUUCCAAAUUCAUUCUGAUAGCAAUAACUCAUAUAGUGCUAUUGACAAGCACACAAAUCAAGCAACAUUUUUCAAUGCGAAAGUAAUUUCUCACAUGGCAAGCAACCGGUCUUGCAAACUACAAACUCACAUCAGAUUUCAUUCAUAUCUCAAUUAUCCACAACUAGUGUUCAAACUUACAAACUUAGAAAUAAGGUACUAUGGAAGACUUAGAAAAUUCUCACCGACUUUCACAUUACAUAUAACCAAUACAACAAUAUAACACAUGCAUAUAAUGAAUGCCAAUUGAUAUAGCAUCUUUCCUUUCUUUAUUCGUGCGAGCUCUUCCUUUAAACGUCUAUUUUUCGCCUUUUGAGUCUUCAUUUCAGCUAGCAAUGAGCUCACAUCGACUUCGUCACGCCUCGAUUGGCUUGAUUCACACAAUGCUUGAUUUCUUUCAAGUAGGUUAACUAUCAUGUCCCUCACAUGAUCUGGUAUCUUUGGAUCAAGCUACAUGAAGAAAUCGCAGCAACUUGGACUAUUAAUCUUAGCACAUCCAUGGAACCUUCUUCCUGCGUUUUUCCUUGUCUUUGCCAUAAGAAUUGGCGAUUGAAGACCACAAUAACAUGCUGGCUCCGAGUUGACCUCAUUACGAGUUACGCCACUUGAUUCAAAUGUUGGCGCCCUCAUUCUUCUAGGCUUCGUAUUAUAGGAACAUAAUAGAAGUAUAUUAGAAUGGAAAAUAACAAAAUGCUAUAAUGCAGAGAGCAAUACCUACUUGAGGAGGAGUCUCCAUUGCCGUCGCUGACCCUGUCGUCGUCCCCGACACCAAUCUCUUCGCUGCUGAGAUGUCAAGACUCCCACAAGAGAGGACUUCGCACGAACUCGCAAUCGUCAAAGGAAAGAACACGAACUCACGACGAGCGUCAAACUCAAGGUCGAUGAGGACCCAAAUCGCAAAAGAACUACAGUUCGGACGAAUUCGAUUUUGGGCUUAGGGUUCGGACGAAUUCGAUUUGGGGCUUAAGGUUCGGAUGAAUUCGAUUUGGGGCUUAAAGUUCGCUCGGAAUAUCGAAAGCAAUCGUAGAGAUGGAGGGGGGAGAGGGAAGACGACAGUGAAGAAGACAUACAGACGAAGGGGAGGUAACACGAUGGUGAAAAAGAAAGGAGAACACGACGUCGUUUUGGAUGCGUGGCAUUUUUUUUUUUAAAAGCCACGUGGGGGCCACGUCAGCUUUUUUCAUCGAUAAAUUAGACGGCAUCGAUUUUAGGACUCGUUUGAAACAUUUUGACAAGUUUUAUGACUUAAAUGCACUUUUGCAAGUUUUAGGAUUCAAAUGCACUUUCGUGACAAGUUUUAGAAUUCUUGGUGCACUUAUCCCUUAAUUUUAUACACCCAUUUACAACCAAUUGGAUUCUAAUGAGCAAGAAAGGACACAAUAUACCAAGUCUGAUUUUCAUUAAGGCACCUGAUUGGAGAUGUGCUCCCGACUUCUUAUCACCCCCAAUCGAGGAUGGAGGAGGCAUGACAUAUGAGUAGACCAACCCUCAAUUGGCUUAGGUUUUGCUUUGCCUAUUUACUUUUCGUGUAGUAUAUUUAAUCGAUGCUUCUUCACAUUGAAUCAAAGGAAAAAAUUUCGAACCUUUGUCUCGACUAACUAAAUUUCAAAUAAAGCUCCAAACCCACCAACUAGACAUUUCUUCACCAACCAGCUUGCACUCGUAGCUCGCGUUCGAAAAUAAUUUAAUAGGAUAAGAUGAAUUUGUUUUCGAGCAUUUUGAAGGGGGGUUGGAAGGGAGAGACUUGGAAUACCGACGAUAUCCUCGACGACAAAUCCACCAUGCCAGCAGAUGGAGAUGUGCGCCAAGCUUCUUAUCACCCCCGACCAAGGGCGGAGGAGGCACGACGUUCGAGGAGACCAACACUUGAUUGGCAUAGGUUUUGCUUUGCCUUGCCUAUUUACUAUGGAUUCUAUUUCCUUCUUCAAUUUACUUUUCAAUCGAAGCUUCUUCAAAUUGGGUCAAAGGAUCGAACGAAAUCAUCACUACUUUAGUCACCGGAAUAAGCAUUAUUUGUUGUUUUGCCAAUUUACUUUUUGUGCACCCAGGCCGCCCAUGCAAAUCGACCAUUUGAUUGGCCGUUGAGCUCAGGAACUCAAAUUAGAUUAACUAAUAAAUUUUAAAUCUCUUAUUUAAGACAAAAUUCACUCAAAAUCCUCUUUCGAGGAAAAAAAAUCCCUUUUUCUGUUUUAAUUUGGAAUGUUCCUUAAAAGAGAUGGAAAAACCAAAACGGCACGGAACGAUCCCUCCUCCAGUCAAAUCCGCUAUCGCCCCCGGGCGCUCCGCUCCCCCCUCACCGGCAAAUGGCAGCCCCCGACGAGCCGCCGCGGCCGCGGCGGCCGCCGCCCGACUGGCUGGAGCUCCCACGGGAGAUCACGACGACGAUCUUCCUCAAGCUCGGCGCCGUCGAGAUCCUCAAGACAGCGGAGCUGGUGUGCACCGCCUGGCGCGCCCUCUGCCUGGACCCCACCAUGUGGCAGACCAUCGACAUGCGCAACGACGGGGAACCGCCGUACGACGACCUCGCCGACAUGUACCGCCGCGCCGUCGACCGGAGCCGCGGCGGUUGCCUCGACCUCAACAUCGAGUACUUCGGCGACGACGAGCUCCUCCAGUACGCCGCCGACGGGUAACUCGCCGAUUCCCUCUUGAAUGAAUUUCGCGCGGUUUUGUUCCUCGGUCUGGUUUUGGUGGGCCUCGGAAUGAUCGCUGAUGGUCGAGCGCGACGCGUGGUCCGGUUCUUUUGUGCGUACGCCGUUGUUGGAGAGAAUUGAGAUGAUGGUUACUCGCCGAGGAUGAGCUUGUUUCGGCGAUUGGCUGAUCGGCGCGAUUGCGGCGGUUCGCAAGUGCGUGGGUAUACCGUUGAUUUCUCUGGGCUGAAGUUGUGCAGGAAUCGCGAAAUUGUUUAGGAAUGAAUCGUAUUGAGCACGAGUUUACUUCUCUUAUUCACCAUGGCCUCAUCACGAGGCGGAGGUAGAAAUGUGAGGCUUUGAGGAGUCCUCUGGAAGUGAACAUUCUGCACACUUGAAAAGUCCCUUUUUUUCCCUUGUCCUCAAGAAUUGAAAUUGAAAAAAAGAGAAGAUGGACACGCCAGAUGAUGAGAACAGAUUGUAUUUGGAAAACUUCGAUCAGCUACAUGUUCUGGAAACUAACUGAUGAAAAAAUCAUGUGUGGAAAUUGAGUUCUGAUCCUGAAAUAGCUCCCGAGAAUGAGGGUAGAGAUUUUUUACGUGAAAGGAUGCCACCUUUGUUACUUUUCUCUCUCCUUAGGAGUUCUCAAAUGGCUUCUUUACUCUGUCUCUAUGUUCCGUAUGUUCAGCCUCAGUAUCUUUCAUUUUUAGCCAUCAUUUGAACAUUAGGAUGAGGCAAAAGUUCAACCCAAUUGAAACCAUGAAGGAGCAUUGAACUGAGGUUGUGAAAAGACUGAUACAAUGCCGUCUGGUGAGUAUCGGGCAUUACUAAAUGAAAUGAGGAACAUGAACUGUGACAGAGCUUCCAUAAGUGCUUGAUAUGGCAGAAGCACUUCUAUUUUACUUCACUCUAGGAUCUUCUUUCCCCUAUGUGCUUGUUUUCCUUUUGAUCAGUUUAUGCGACGCAUUUACUCUCCUGUUUGCUAAUAGUUAUGGGGAGAUAUUGGUUAAAGUUUGGUGCGGUAGAAGGUAUAUAACUCAACAAAAUAGGGUAUAGCCAUGUAGCUCCAUCACCUUCUCAGCCUUGGACAAGUGUAGCUUUAACCCAUGUUUGCCAAAACACUUGAGUAUGCCUCAGGUUCCAGUGAUAUCAAUCUUAAACUGUUUUUUCCCCUUAUUUUGUUCAGCAAAGAAAAUAUUCUAGUUUAAUUCACCGCUGGAUUUGUCUUCUAUUUCCUGGUCGAGACUCCGCGCUCAGUCUUCAUCAUUGCGUUUUCAUUGAACUUGCAGAGACAGGUUAGAUACAUUUGAUGGCAUUUUUGCAGGUCUUGGAUAGGUACAUAAUUGUCUUGAUCUGACCAGUGGAUGGCACUGUCAGUGUUUUGAUUCCACAGUAUACAACUGAAGUUACUGCUUGAGUUAUGGCAUGGAAGUUUUACGUUUUGGAGUCUUUUCGGUUCUUAAAAUGAGUUUCAGAGUCUAAUAGUGUUAUGUUUGCUUUUGUUGAUAAAAUUCCUAUGAUGAAGGGUUUUAUGAGGAGACUUUGUUAAUGGGUGCCUCUGGUAUAGUUGUUAACCACACAUAAUAAGGAAAUGUAAUUACUCUAAUUAUAUAUAACAUGAGAAAUAUGGUGCAUAAAAAUCGACAAACUCUUUUUAUCGAGGUGUUAAAAAAGUUCCCAUGGACACAUAUUGAAAAAAAUAAAAAAUAAAUCGAUCAGAUUAGCUCUCUUUGUUGACUUAAGUUUCUCUCUUUGAUGGUGUUUUUCUUCCUUUUACUGAGCAUGAAGUCCAGAACAGAGCUUUUGGAUUGUUUUUGAUUUUUGACUGCUGGAUAUAUUAUGUUUGUUAAGGAAAUUUUAUUAUAGUUUGAGGCUGGAAUAGAACAUAAUUUCCAUUGAUUUGAUUUAGGUUUUGAAUUUGAUCUUACUUUUCUUGACGUCUUGAUUCAUUAACUUUAUAUUUGUUUUCAAAAACUUUCUAUACAUAUUUUGUGUAUUCUGUGUCUUAUUAAUAUUUCGGAUAAAUAUGGCAGUCUUGCUUAUUAAAAGGCUAUUCUGAUAGGUCAAAAGUGGACCAAGCAUCACAUCUCUCAAUUGCAUAGAUCUCUGUUUAGUUUACAUUCUUGUGAUGCCAUGGGUAUGCAAAGGCGGACUUCAUUAACAAAUGUGGCAUAGUUGACCUUUUUUAACAUGACUUGAAAGAAUUCCAAUCAAGGCCGCAACAGUAGAGAAUUCUUGAUCUAGGGUUCUGGCUGAUUUUAUCAUAUUUCCGUAUUUUUUGACAUGUCUCGUUAACGAGUGCCCUUAGGGCAUUUAUUAAACAUGCAUAAGGAAAGUUCCAUUGUCUGCAACACUAGUUACGCACUUCACUAGAACAAUUGUGGAUUAUAACUUGUGGUGUUCCUUAAUUAGCCACUAAGAAGUGCCCAAGGGAUAUGAUUAACAAAUUAAUGUUGUUGAAAUACAAUUACUUUUUGGCCGAUGAAAAUAAUCUCUCUACACACCCCUUGCUCUAGAUCAAUAAGCUCUCAGUUCCUUAUCUUAGUGGUUAACAUUAUUAUUGCUAGCUACAACAAGUCUGCUUUUCGGUUGAACCAUCGUUGUUCUCAUGCAUUUCUUAUUCCAUUGCAGGUGCAAUCAUAUUAGACGGCUACGACUUGUAUAUUGCGGUAACAUUUCGGAUGAGGGUCUGUGUGAAGCAGCCUCAAAACUUCCUAUGCUGGAGGUCCUUGAAUUAUCUUAUUGCUCAUUCUCAAAGGAAGCCAUAGAGACUGUUGGACAAUGUUGUCCCCUUCUGAAAUCCUUCAAAUUGAAUAGCCAGGGAUAUAGAUAUCCACACAUAGAAUGUGAUGACGAGGCACAAGCUAUAGCGAAAAACAUGCAUGGAUUACACCACCUCCAACUCUUCGGGAAUAAGAUGACAAAUGAAGGUCUGAAGACGAUUCUCGACAGUUGUCCUCAUCUUGAGUAUCUCGACUUGCGCCAGUGCUUCAAUAUUUAUAUGGAGGGUGAUUUGGGGAGAAGAUGCACCGAACAGAUCAAAGAUUUAAGGAAUCCAUAUGACCCCACAGAUGACUAUGAAUUUGAUGCUGCAAUUCUCAAUGACGAGUCCUUUGAUGAUGAUUACCUACCUUGGUUUUCUGACAUUGAUUUGCCUGAUUAUGAUAACUACCAUGUAUUCCCUGAUUUUGACGACUUCUCUGUAUAUGUGUUUGAUGCGUAUCAGUGAUUUGCUGGUUGACGUGCUUGCAUGGUGAGGAACCCUUUUCUUGCUUUAAGUCGCAGAAUAAUUUUACUUCAUGGUUCUACGUAGCUCUUCGUGGCAGUCUGUUAUGAUGUACUAUUUCUGAUUAUUUUGGUCUGGACACGCAGGUGAAGUUUCUUUAUGGUUGCUGACACUCCGUACCAUGGUUUGAGGCAGAGAUGGUUAAGCGACCAUCCAGCACGCCUUCUGGUGUAGCUUUUGACCUGAACUUCGCAAGUGGGAGUCUUUCCUAUUUUGUUGAUGAAGAGGAGCGCUCAUAGAUCAGCGCUCCACUUGAAGUGCAUUCUUUUGUUCCUUUCGUUCUAGUCUCUGCAACUUUAUCUCCAGAACAUGUUUUAUGGCUAUGAGCUUCUGCAUAUAUAGUUCCAGUGCCUAGUCUUAUUUUGUUAUCUGUGAUUUUGGUGUGCUAACUCCAGCUGGCCAUGAUAAUGAACUUCAUAGCUGAUAAACCAAUGUCAGGCUUCUUUGUGCGGUUUUGCAUAAAAUUUACAAUCCUGUUACCUAAAAUGUUAUUCAGAAAAUCGCUUUAAUC